UGUGCUUGGGAGAGGCUUAGUGAGGCAGACUAUGGUGAUGCCAAGGUUAUUUACUUUGUUGAAUCUCGUCGACUACGGACACAGCUGAGGUGGACCUCCGCUGCUUCCCACUGGCUCCUCUCCUCUUGUUGAAGGGAAACAACAAAGGAGAAGGGAGGAACAUGCCAUCCCAACCCCCAGGCAGUACAGAGUGUGAUUAUACAACUAGUAAUACAUGUGGAGGCAGUACCAAGAAACGAUAAAGACACAAUGGCAGGAAUGAAUGCACAACAAGGGAGGGGGGCGGUACCUGCCGGCCUCCCCCUGGGCAAUGAUGAUGUGCUGUCCGUGGCAGUGUUCACCCACGAGGCGCCCCAGCUGGUGAUGCUGUGCCGGGUGUGUUGUUCCCUGAGCAGUAAUUAUGCUGUGCUCCAGCACUGGCGGCAGUGCUUCCAGACAGUGGCGUAUAUAGAUCCAUG